GAGUUUGAUCAUGGCUCAGGACGAACGCUGGCGGCGUGCCUAACACAUGCAAGUCGAGCGAGGAAGCCCCUUCGGGGGUGGAAUAGCGGCGGACGGGUGAGUAACACGUGGGUAACCUGCCUCAAAGAGGGGGAUAGCCUCCCGAAAGGGAGAUUAAUACCGCAUAGAAGGUAAAAAUCGCAUGAUAAAUACCUUAAAGGAGCAAUCCGCUUUGAGAUGGGCCCGCGUCGCAUUAGCUAGUUGGAGGGAUAAAAGCCCCCCAAGGCGACGAUGCGUAGCCGACCUGAGAGGGUGAACGGCCACAUUGGAACUGAGAUACGGUCCAGACUCCUACGGGAGGCAGCAGUGGGGAAUAUUGCACAAUGGGGGAAACCCUGAUGCAGCAACGCCGCGUGAGUGAAGAAGGUUUUCGGAUCGUAAAGCUCUGUCAUCCGGGACGAUAAUGACGGUACCGGAAGAGGAAGCCACGGCUAACUACGUGCCAGCAGCCGCGGUAAUAC
rnacentral:rRNA from 1 species